AGGAGGAGGAGGAGAAAGUGGCUCUCAGCGGCCGGUCGGAUUAAAAGUAACCAGACUCGUCCAGAAAACUGCGUCCAGGAAGGAAGUGACAGAAGACGAAUGGGAAAAGGAGAACAGCUCACAGCGUUUGAAACAUCGCGGCACCACUUUCAGAUAAAAACAUAGACCUGAAUGGCAUCAUCCAGUAUCCAAGGAAACCAUUGUGUCUGUAACCAGCUAAUGAGCUGCAACAGAGCCUGGCCUUCAUUUUCAGCAAAUUAAGUUCAUCCCUCAUAGGAAUUGUGGUCUGGCUGUGGCACCGCUCCUAGGUUCUCUAAACAUGAAUAUGCCUUUGGGGGAAGACAGAAGAACAUGGAAGCCAUGUGAAAAAAACGGAUCCUAAGGCAGUUUUGAACAUCUGGAGGCCUGAUUUAUUGGAGAUUGCAAAUGUACAGUGUAACAUAGCUGUGGAGAGCGAGAAGAUCAGGAUUGUCAAUGCUGUCAUUGCUUUUACUGGAAUCCCCAGCACGAAUUGAAGGUUUGACCAGAGACAAAGAAGCAAAUGCUAUCAAUUAACAUUCACAUGUGGUAGGUCUCACUUUGCCACCUAGGCUGGAUGCAAUGCAACGGUAUGUUGAUCUUGGUUCACUGCAGCCUCAACCUCCUGAGCUCAUGUGAUCCUCCCACCUCAGUCCCCCACGUCGCUUGGAUUACAGGCCUGUGCCACCACACCUGGCUAACUUUUUUUGUAAUUUUUGUAGAGACAGGGUCUCACUAUGUUUCCCAUGCUGGUCUUUAAUGCCUGAGCUCAAGCCAUCCGCCUGCCUCGGCCUCCCAAAUUGCUGGGAUUACAGGCAUGAGCCACCAUGCCCAGCCUAAUUCUUCUAAAUCUUAUCCUAGUAAUUAAGCCAGAAUUUUUCUCUGCCAAGACCAAUAGAUGGACCAAGAAGUACUCAUCCUUGUAAACUUUCUUUGGAUAAAUUGCUUACAUAUAAUAAAUUCAGAGUUAAGUAAUAAAAAUAAUGAACUACUGUCUUG
rnacentral:lncRNA from 10 species